UAAGGUUGUGAUGAUGUGCAAAAUGGUCAAUGGCUCUGAAUGAAGUGAAUAAAAACAGCCUUGCAGAAUA